UAAGGAAUAUUGGUCAAUGGACGCAAGUCUGAACCAGCCAUGCCGCGUGGAGGAUGAAGGUCCUCUGGAUUGUAAACUUCUUUUAUCUGGGAAGAAAUCCAUUUUUUCUAAAAUGGUUGACGGUACCAGAUGAAUAAGCACCGGCUAACUCCGUGCCAGCAGCCGCGGUAAUACGGAGGGUGCAAGCGUUAUCCGGAUUCACUGGGUUUAAAGGGUGCGUAGGUGGGCAAGUAAGUCAGUGGUGAAAUCUCCGGGCUUAACCCGGAAACUGCCAUUGAUACUAUUUGUCUUGAAUACUGUGGAGGUCAGCGGAAUAUGUCAUGUAGCGGUGAAAUGCUUAGAUAUGACAUAGAACACCAAUUGCGAAGGCAGCUGGCUACACAAAUAUUGACACUGAGGCACGAAAGCGUGGGGAUCAAACAGGAUUAGAUACCCUGGUAGUCCACGCCCUAAACUAUGGAUACUCGACAUUUGCGAU
rnacentral:rRNA from 1 species